rnacentral:rRNA from 1 species
GUACACGCUGUGACUAGCAUAUCAAUAAGCGGAGGAAAAGAAACUAACAAGGAUUCCCCUAGUAACGGCGAGUGAAGCGGGAAGAGCUCAAAUUUGAAAUCUUAAAGGGUUUCCCUUUACGAAUUGUAGUUUAAAGAAGUGUUUUCUGUUGAGGUUUUGGUAAAAGUUCUUUGGAAUAGGACAUCAUAGAGGGUGAGAAUCCCGUAUUUGACCUUUACUUUCAACUUUGUGAUACACUUUCAAAGAGUCGGAUUGUUUGGGAAUGCAGUCCAAAAUGGGUGGUAAAUUUCAUCUAAGAGCUAAAUAUUGGCGAGAGACCGAUAGCGAACAAGUACCGUGAGGGAAAGAUGAAAAGAACUUUGAAAAGAGAGUUAAACAGUACGUGAAAUUGUCAAAAGGGAAGCGUUUGACACCAGUGUUGUUUUUCUGAAAAUCAAUUAAAGAACUGUUUAUGCUAAGUUGUUUAGACUUUAUCAGCUAACUGUUUAGUUUUGAGCUUUUCUUUAAUGCACUUUUCAGUUAACAAGUCAACAUCAAUUUCUUUUGCUGUAAAAAAGCUUGAGGAAGGUGGCUUGAGAUUCGUCUUAAGUGUUUAUAGCCUCUUGCCUAUGCAGUCGGAGAGAUUGAGGUCUGCAGCGUAGAUCCUUCGGGGCUAAAUGCAUUUGUGCUAAGUUAUAGCAUUUUAUAGACAACUUGUUGACUAUGAUUUGUCUUGUAGCUUACUCGCUUAUGUUAUUUUACCUACGCUUAGGAUGUUGAAGAUGUAGCACAUCAU